CUUCACCGAUCCCAGCAGCAGGGGCAGUUCCCGGUCCUGUCCGUAGGUGGCGAGCAGGGCCUGUGCCUC
rnacentral:antisense_RNA from 1 species